rnacentral:rRNA from 1 species
AGGUUAAUACCCUCGCUCCUUGACGUUACCCACACAAAAACACCGGCUAACUCCGUGCCAGCAGCCGCGGUAAUACGGAGGGGGCAAGCGUUAAUCGGAAUUACUGGGCGUAAAGCGCGCGCAGGCGGUUUGUUAAGCCGGAUGUGAAAGCCCCGGGCUCAACCUGGGAACUGCAUCUGAAACUGGCAAGCUUGAGUACAGUAGAGGGGGGUGGAAUUCCAUGUGUAGCGGCGAAAUGCGUACAUAUUUGGAGGAACACCAGUGGCGAAGGCGGCUUCCUGGACUGAUACUGACUCUCAGGUGCGAAAGCGUGGGGAGCAAACAGGAUUAGAUACCCUGGCAGUCC